CCAUGGAAAGAAGUAGCUUUGAACAGGAGGUUCCAGUGGCCUCCCAGUCAAGCAAGGGGGUGGAUCCCUGCCCCACCACCAGCACCGCAAGGCAUGGCCCUCUACCUCCCAGUACAGCUCCUCUUGUCCACUCUCCUGCUUCUCCCACCAGCUGGCUGCCUCACCCUUGACUUUGCCCUGUUUUUCCCUGGCUCAGAUUGCAGUCCCUGUACCAUGCUGCCCCCGGAGGCCUGUCCAGCCUCUGUCUCACCAGUUUUCAGCCCUUUGCCACUUCCUCUGCACAAAUCACCUCUGUCACCCCCUUGAAGUUCCCAAAUGCUGGGCCCAGCACAUCUUUUCACUCCAUACCACUGGUCAGCUGCGGCGCUGGCUGCCCCUGUGCCAGGGCCCUGCCUUAACCCAGUUCUCUGUGACCUGGGUGGUGGCGGAGUGGGGAGUCACAUAAUACUAAGCAUGGCUGUCCUAGGACUCACCCUGCACCAGGGCCCUAGGCAGGGCAGGCACUCUGUGGCCAUGUCUGACAUAGCCUGGUCUUGGGAGUGCUCUGGGCAAGCCAAGGGAGAUGGCAUGAUUUGGGCCAGAGAUGGGGGCAGAGGGCAUAACAGACAGGGGCAGGGCACCACCUGGGCCCCGGGUGGCAGCUAAGGGGACCCUGACAAAGCGAGUCAUGAUUGAGGGUCUGUGGGCAGAGGAGCAAGGUGGCCAGAGCCUGGCGUGUCAGCACAGAGGGGGCGCUGCAGAGGGCGACGGCUGCUUCUCAUCCCCAGGUGGGAGUCUCAGGGCAGGGAAGAAUGUUUUGAAGGAACAUCACAGGAAAUGACAAGGCCCUGGGAGAUGGGAUGGGGACAGUCAAAGAUGGCUUGGAAUCAUCAAGGGCAGCAGGGUACCCAGGGGCAAGGAGAGCAGACAUAGCUGCCGAAGGGGCGGACAUCCAAGGUUCUUUGGAAGCUGAGCGAUGCCAGCAUCUGGAGACUGCCAGGCUGCUGGGUGGUGCCAGAGCCUGGAGGAAAUGUUAGGACUAGAGAGAGGAGGUGCCAGCCGAGGGCAUGAGGCUCACUUGGAGCCUGGAUCCCAAGGCUCCCCUGAAGAGGGAGCAGGAAGGGAGCUGAGAGGGUGACUUGGAGCAGAUGGGUGCCCCAAGAAACUCAGUAAACGCAGAACUCCCUGAGCUGGACACCAUGCUGCGGGGAGGCAAUAACCCACUCAGGAUCACUGUGCCAACCUCCUGGACUCUUACCACGUUGCUCAGCCCCAAAGAUGGCCCACACAGGGACCACCCCCUGGGCGGCGUUCACCCCAUGGAGUUGGGCCCCACAGCCACUGGACAGCCCUGGCCCCUGGACCCUGAGAACUCUCAUGAGCCCCGCAGCCACCCUGAGAAGCCUCUGCCAGCAGUCUCGCCUGACCCCCAAGCAGAUCAAGCCCAGAUGCCAAGAUCCUGCCUCUGGUGAGAGGUAGCUCCUAAAAUGAACAGAUUUAAAGACAGGUGGCCACUGACAGCCACUCCAGGAACUUGAACUGCAGGGGCAGAGCCAGUGAAUCGCUGGACCUCCAGCACCUGCAGGCAGCUUGGAAGUUUCUUCCCCGAGUGGAGCUUCGACCCACCCACUCCAGGAACCCAGAGCCACAUUAGAAGUUCCUGAGGGCUGGAGAACACUGCUGGGCACACUCUCCAGCUCAAUAAACCAUCAGUCCCAGAAGCAAAGGUCACACAGCCCCUGACCUCCCUCACCAGUGGAGGCUGAGUAGUGCUGGCCACCCCAAAAGGGCUCUGUCCUGGGAGUCUGGUGUGUCUCCUACAUGCAAUUUCCACGGACCCAGCUCUGUGGAGGGCAUGACUGCUGGCCAGAAGCUAGUGGUCCUGGGGCCCUAUGGUUCGACUGAGUCCACACUCCCCUGGAGCCUGGCUGGCCUCUGCAAACAAACAUAAUUUUGGGGACCUUCCUUCCUGUUUCUUCCCACCCUGUCUUCUACCCUAGGUGGUUCCUGAGCCCCCACCCCCAAUCCCAGUGCUAUACCUGAGGUUCUGGAGCUCAGAAUCUGACAGCCUCUCCCCCAUUCUGUGUGUGUGGGGGGGACAGAGGGAACCAUUUAAGAAAAGAUACCAAAGUAGAAGUCAAAAGAAAGACAUGUUGGCUAUAGGCAUGGUGGCUCAUGCCUAUAAUCCCAGCACUUUGGGAAGCCGGGGUAGGAGGAUCACCAGAGGCCAGGAGGUCCACACCAGCCUGGGCAACACAGCAAGACACCGCAUCUACAGAAAAAUUUUAAAAUUAGCUGGGCGUGGUGGUGUGUACCUGUAGGCCUAGCUGCUCAGGAGGCUGAAGCAGGAGGAUCACUUGAGCCUGAGUUCAACACUGCAGUGAGCUAUGGUGGCACCACUGCACUCCAGCCUGGGUGACAGAGCAAGACCCUGUCUCUAAAAUAAAUUUUAA
rnacentral:lncRNA from 1 species